UUUUAUUAACUUACUACACUUAUUCUCAACGCAAACAUAGCUAAACGACUGCUCAUAUAACAUAUAAACUAUUGUAAUUUGACAUUCAACGUAACUUUCUGUGUCCCUUAACUGCAUAGUCAUACUGAACUGGCCAUGCAACAUUUUCACCCAACUGGUUCGCGCUGUCUAGCACCAACGACGGGUUCCUUAAGAACUCCCUUGCGACAAAAGUAACAUCAGCUUUUCCACUUUCUAGGAUUUCAUUCGCCGUAAGACCAUCCCUGAUCAUUCCGACAGCGCCAAGUAGUAUUCCAUUCACUUGAUCCUUAAUCUUUUCCGCAAAAGGAACUUGAUAGCAAUCCUUCACCUCAAUUCUUUGAUCCUUGUGAUUACCACCAGAGCUAACAUCUAUCAAGUCAACACCACCAUCGCGAAGCCUCGCUGCUAAUGCAACUGUAUCUUCUAUCUCCCAUCCUUGUCCUUUGGGCAACCAAUCUGUAGCCGUUACUCUAUAAAACAAGGGCAUACUAUCUGGAAUUGCUUUACGAACAGAAUGGACAACUUCCAUAGGAAACAAAAUACGUUUCUCAAAUGUCCCACCAUACUUGUCAUUGCGGUCAUUAGUGGCAGGACUAACUGUUGACGAUAUAAGAUAACCAUGAGCGCCAUGAAUUUCAAUUACAUCAAAACCUAUUUCAACUGCACGCUUCGCAGCAACAACAAACUUAUCCACUAAUUCAUCAUAUUGCUUUUCAGUUAACUUAUGAGGUUGAGCGUGGUUUUCGUCCCACCUGUCUUCAUUUGGUCCAUAAACAUCAUUCUCCCACCCACCUUGAGCUUCAGUCGCAACUGUGUAUCCUCGAUAAGGAGCAGUGGUGCUAGCCUUUCUACCAGCAUGCGCCAAUUGAAUCCCAAUUUUUUGAUUUUGCGAAUGAGCAAAUUCAACAAUUCUUCGUAACGGCUUCAUUUGCGACUCCAUCCAUAAUCCUGAAUCAUUAGGUGAAAUUCGUCCCUCUGGGGAAACCGCUGUCGCUUCUACCAUUACAAGGCCAGGCCCACGCAUUCCCAUCGCUCCAAGAUGUACUAGGUGAAAAUCUGUCAAAUGCCCUUCUUGGUCAGCGGAAUAAGUGCACAUCGGCGAAACAAACAUUCUGUUAUGGAACUCCACUCCUCUAAUUUUAAGAGGAGUAAAUAAUUUUGUUUGCGGUACACCUAUCGCCGCUCCAGCUGGUAUUUUUUGCGCAGGUGUAAAAUAACCAACAUUUUCGGCUCCUUCAUUAACAAUAGUCAUUUUUAAAAUUUUUCAAUUCAAAUUAAUAUAUUGGCCAGUCGUUGGGACAUAUUUAUACACAAAGCAUAAUGUUAUUCCUUACUAAGCUAACCGCAAUAUUUCCGUGCAACAAACCAUGAUCAUAUUACAUAAUAUCUUUUCAUCAUUCUAUUCGAUAGCACGGCAACAUUGCAAAUUACAGAAAAUUUAACAAUGAGGUUUCAAAUAGAAAGCUGUCGAAGUAAAAGUAUCAUUUGUUUCUUUAAUCUACCUCAACAAAGAAAAGAACUAUAAUAGGAAACCUGUUAAAGAUUACGAAUGCUUCAAUAUAGCGCUUUUUGAAUUCCAACUAAAAAAUAUUACAAAAAUCAAAUGAUUAACAAGCUGUCAUAAUCAAAAUACUAAUAAUGUUGAAAUAUCCAUUGCUAAGUUAAAUUGCUCAAACAUUACGAGAAUCGAUUUAUUGCAUACAUUAGUAAAUAG